rnacentral:sRNA from 1 species
GGACACUUUUGCUUGCAGUUAGGUCAAGUGGAGGUGGCUUUGUACAAGUCAGUGCCAACGCGCUUGCUGUCACGGGCCUGGGGUCGCCUCAAUCAGGUGGAGCUGCCACACUGGCUGCGCAGGCCCGUCUACAGCCUGUACAUCUGGACGUUUGGGGUGAACAUGAAAGAGGCCGCUGUGGAGGACCUGCAUCACUACCGCAACCUCAGCGAGUUCUUCCGGCGCAAGCUGAAGCCGCAGGCCCGGCCUGUCUGUGGCCUGCACAGCGUGAUUAGCCCAUCGGAUGGAAGGAUCCUCAACUUUGGGCAGGUGAAGAACUGCGAGGUGGAGCAGGUAAAGGGGGUCACCUACUCCCUGGAGUCGUUCCUGGGCCCGCGUACCUGCACAGAGGACCUGCCCUUCCCACCAGCUGCGUCGUGUGACUCCUUCAAGAACCAGCUGGUCACCCGGGAAGGGAAUGAGCUCUAUCACUGUGUCAUCUACCUGGCCCCUGGGGACUACCACUGCUUCCACUCCCCCACCGACUGGACUGUGUCCCACCGGCGCCACUUCCCAGGCUCCCUGAUGUCAGUGAACCCUGGCAUGGCUCGCUGGAUCAAAGAGCUCUUCUGCCAUAACGAGCGGGUAGUCCUGACGGGGGACUGGAAACAUGGCUUCUUCUCACUGACAGCUGUGGGGGCCACCAACGUGGG